UACGGAGGGUGCAAGCGUUAAUCGGAAUUACUGGGCGUAAAGCGCACGUAGGUGGUUUGCUAAGCCAGCUGUGAAAUCCCCGGGCUCAACCUGGGCACUGCAGUUGGAACUGGUAGGCUAGAGUAUGGUAGAGGGGUGUGGAAUUCCAGGUGUAGCGGUGAAAUGCGUAGAUAUCUGGAGGAACAUCAGUGGCGAAGGCGACACCCUGGACUAAUACUGACACUGAGGUGCGAAAGCGUGGGGAGCAAACAGG
rnacentral:rRNA from 1 species